rnacentral:rRNA from 1 species
UACAUGGGGUGCAAGCGUUGUCCGGAAUGAUUGGGCGUAAAGCGUUCGUAGGUGGUUCUUAAAGUCGAUUGUCAAAUCCCAGAGCUCAACUUUGGAGAGGCACUCGAAACUCAAGGGCUAGAGGACGGUAGGGGUAGAGGGAAUUCCCAGUGUAGCGGUGAAAUGCACAGAGAUUGGGAAGAACACCAGCGGCGAAGGCGCUCUACUGGGCCGUUACUGACACUGAGGGACGAAAGCUGAGGGAGCGAAUAGG